rnacentral:rRNA from 1 species
UGGGGAAUUUUGGACAAUGGGCGCAAGCCUGAUCCAGCCAUUCCGCGUGCAGGACGAAGGCCUUCGGGUUGUAAACUGCUUUUGUACAGAACGAAAAGCCUUGGGUUAAUACCCUGAGGUCAUGACGGUACUGUAAGAAUAAGCACCGGCUAACUACGUGCCAGCAGCCGCGGUAAUACGUAGGGUGCGAGCGUUAAUCGGAAUUACUGGGCGUAAAGCGUGCGCAGGCGGUUUUGUAAGACAGAGGUGAAAUCCCCGGGCUCAACCUGGGAACUGCCUUUGUGACUGCAAGGCUAGAGUGCGGCAGAGGGGGAUGGAAUUCCGCGUGUAGCAGUGAAAUGCGUAGAUAUGCGGAGGAACACCGAUGGCGAAGGCAAUCCCCUGGGCCUGCACUGACGCUCAUGCACGAAAGCGUGGGGAGCAAACA